GUCCCAUAUUGAAUAGAAACGAAAUUAUCGAUGCCAAUCUCCAAGCCUAAAUAGAUAAUGGAUUGGAAAAAAAUGUACGUAAUUAUAAUGAUCUAAUAGUCCCACAUUGAAUAGAAAAAAAAUUAUGAAUUAGAAUAUGAGAACUAAGGAUUCUAGUAAUAAUAAUUGAACUUAAACAAUUUGGAUUAAUGGUUUGGAUCUAACGAGUUAUUAAUAUAAACAGACUAAACGGUUUUAAUAGUAACUGUACGUAAGCUCU
rnacentral:lncRNA from 1 species